rnacentral:rRNA from 1 species
AUUGAACGCUGGCGGCAGGCCUAACACAUGCAAGUCGAACGGUAACAGGAAGAAGCUUGCUUCUUCGCUGACGAGUGGCGGACGGGUGAGUAAUGUCUGGGAAACUGCCUGAUGGAGGGGGAUAACUACUGGAAACGGUAGCUAAUACCGCAUAACGUCGCAAGACCAAAGAGGGGGACCUUCGGGCCUCUUGCCAUCGGAUGUGCCCAGAUGGGAUUAGCUAGUAGGUGGGGUAACGGCCCACCUAGGCGACGAUCCCUAGCUGGUCUGAGAGGAUGACCAGCCACACUGGAACUGAGACACGGUCCAGACUCCUACGGGAGGCAGCAGUGGGGAAUAUUGCACAAUGGGCGCAAGCCUGAUGCAGCCAUGCCGCGUGUAUGAAGAAGGCCUUCGGGUUGUAAAGUACUUUCAGCGGGGAGGAAGGGAGUAAAGUUAAUACCUUUACUCAUUGACGUUACCCGCAGAAGAAGCACCGGCUAACUCCGUGCCAGCCGCCGCCGUAAAAC